AUGGGUUACCAUGAACCCCUACAAAACAGUUACCGUGAAGGAACGGUGGAAUGCAUAUGCUCUGCUCCGACUAGCUUGCGCCUCGCUCAGGCUCCUACCCCAUGUCCAACAAGCCGGUGCCGUCCUUCCUCCGCCCCACCAAGGUCGUCCUUGUUCUGGUCCUGUCGUGCACAGCGCGUUGGCGACGGACGCGAAGGCCAGUGGAAGUUCAAGGCCAAGGUGCUGCUGAAGCUGCUCAAAUCCAAGUCAAUUACAGUUGAGAUAUUCACUAGAGUUAGUGUUCGGAAGUUAACGUUGCAGUUAAAGACUUGGAUGUUCUUGUAA
rnacentral:rRNA from 1 species